rnacentral:rRNA from 1 species
AACGAACGCUGGCGGCAGGCUUAACACAUGCAAGUCGAACGGAUGGGUGUAGCAAUACAUUUCAUCAGUGGCAGACGGGUGAGUAACACGUGGGAACCUUCCUCGUUGUACGGGACAACUCAGGGAAACUUGAGCUAAUACCGUAUAAGUCCGAGAGGAGAAAGAUUUAUCGCAAUGAGACGGGCCCGCGUCGGAUUAGCUAGUUGGGUGGGGUAACGGCCUACCAAGGCGACGAUCCGUAGCUGAUCUGAGAGGAUGAUCAGCCACACUGGGAC